rnacentral:rRNA from 1 species
UACGGAGGGGGCAAGCGUUGUCCGGACUUACUGGGCGUAAAGGGUGCGUAGGUGGGUUGGUAAGUCAGUGGUGAAAUCUCCGUGCUUAACAUGGAAACUGCCAUUGAUACUACCGGUCUUGAAUUUUCUGGAGGUCAGCGGAAUAUGUCAUGUAGCGGUGAAAUGCUUAGAUAUGACAUAGAACACCAAUUGCGAAGGCAGCUGGCUACAGGGAUGUUGACACUGAGGCACGAAAGCGUGGGGAGCGAACAGG